AUUUAUAUUCUGUAUGGAAGUACUUUUUAGGAAUUAAAUUGGUUACGUAUGCCUAAUUUCCAAGAGAAGGUCCUUGGCCUUAUAGAUACGAAGGCGUCGAAUAUUCGUGAAUGAAUCUUCUUUCUGCAGUGACGUCACUGGUUGCCAUUAGUCCAUCGAGUUGCUUAUAAGAAAAGCGCGAUCUAUGAAAGAGCGCUUGCGCUUUUCAAAAUGACUUGCUGCGCGGCGCUCUUGGGCUUUCCAAUGGAGACUUGAUGAAAGCUCCUUUCGUUCACAACUAGAAUCUCAUUGCGACUAGACGAAAUGCGACCAUAUCCAUCUGCGGAGUAUUUUUUCAAGAAAGUUAAACGGCUACGAAAUUGCAAAAACAUUUAAUAAGCAAUCGGAAGGUAAAAACGAAGAAACUUCAUCGUCGUAUGUCCUGGUGCUCGCGCCCUGAAUAGUGGAACAUUCGCACAAAAUUCGUGAAGGUGGAAAAGAUUCUAAAUUGGUGUUCGAACGAGCAUCAGACAACAAUAUUAUAUGUCUUGAGCAACGUCGAC